UAGGGAAUCUUCCACAAUGGGCGAAAGCCUGAUGGAGCAACGCCGCGUGUGUGAUGAAGGCUUUCGGGUCGUAAAGCACUGUUGUAUGGGAAGAACAGCUAGAAUAGGAAAUGAUUUUAGUUUGACGGUACCAUACCAGAAAGGGACUGCUAAAUACGUGCCAU
rnacentral:rRNA from 1 species